CCUACGGUGGGCAGCAGUGAGGAAUAUUGGUCAAUGGACGAGAGUCUGAACCAGCCACGUAGCGUGAAGGAUGACUGCCCUCUGGGUUGUAAACUUCUUUUAUAAAGGAGUAAAACGAGCCGCGUGUGCCUUUUUGCAUGUACUUUAUGAAUAAGGAUCGGCUAACUCCGUUCCAUCAGCCGCGGUAAUACUGCGGAUUCGAGCGUUAUCCGGAUUUAUUGGGUUUAAAGGGAGCGUAGAUGGGAUGUUAAGUCAGUUGUGAAAGUUUGGGGCUCAACCGUAAAAUUGCAAUUGAUCCUGGCAGUCUUGAGUACAGGUGAGGUAGGCGGAAUUCGGGGUGUAGCGGUGAAAUGCGUAGAUAUCACGAAGAACCCCGAUUGCGAAGGCAGCUUACUAGACUGUAACUGACAUUGAUGCGCGAAAGUGUGGGUAGCAAACAGGAUUAGAUACCCCAGUAGUC
rnacentral:rRNA from 1 species